rnacentral:lncRNA from 1 species
CGGGAAAGUACGGCCGGUUCGCAUGCGGGCGGUCGCUCGUGUCGGCGCGGGAACGCAAAAUAAUGGCGGGAAGACGGUAGCAGAGGAGGGCGGAGAGGCAGCCUCGCCUCGCCUCGCCUCGCCUCGCCUCGCCUCCCACCCGGCCGGCGUCCGAGCCGUCGGGUCCGACCGCCGGCGCUCGGGGAGGGGACCCUCGGCUCCCCCGGCGGGGCGCUACUAGAGGGAGAAGUGGAAGAAGAGCGAGCGACUACGGGAGUGCGAACGUACGUGCCCGUUCCCCGC